rnacentral:rRNA from 1 species
CCUCGGGGCGCUGCAGGCGAGAAAACUUUGCAAUGUGCGAAAGCACGACAAGGUUAAUCCGAGUGGUUUGUGCUAAACGAACCUUUUGACAGUCCUAGAAACACUGUUGAAUAAGGGGUGGGCAAGUUCUGGUGUCAGCCGCCGCGGUAAAACCAGCACCUCAAGUGGUCAGGAUGAUUAUUGGGCCUAAAGCAUCCGUAGCCGGCUCUGUAAGUUUUCGGUUAAAUCUGUACGCUCAACGUACAGGCUGCCGGGAAUACUGCAGAGCUAGGGAGUGGGAGAGGUAGACGGUACUCGGUAGGAAGGGGUAAAAUCCUUUGAUCUAUUGAUGACCACCUGUGGCGAAGGCGGUCUACCAGAACACGUCCGACGGUGAGGGAUGAAAGCUGGGGGAGCAAACCGGAUUAGAUACCCUAGUAGUC